rnacentral:lncRNA from 1 species
CUCCUCCCACUGUUGUUGGGGACCUACAACCAGCUAAAUACUUGAAGUAUUAUUGGGAAAAUAUUUUAUUAACUCUACAUAGACUCUUGUCUUUAUAUAAGAAUACCUGCAAUACUGUUUCCAGAUGGCUAAUGGAUCAAGUGCACAUUUAUGGGAAAUACCUGUACAAGCUGUGUAAUCGAUGUAAAGAACCUACUGCCUUUCAAAACUGGACACAUGACUGUGGCUCUGGAAUUUUCAUCAUCCUGUAAACAUUAUCUUGUGUAACCUCAAAUAUUAAAUAAAAAUAUAACAAAAUAAAACUAUAGAUAUUAAAAUAAAAUACAAAAAACUGAAAUUAUAAUUAAUUUAUUUAUAAAAUGGGAGAUUGCCUUAUAAUUCUACUAUAAAGUAGGUAGUAUACGAAGUGGAG